rnacentral:sRNA from 1 species
CCCCAUUCAGAAGAGUAAAAGCAGAUAGCACCAGAAGUCUUACAGCAUUUGAGCAGCGCACUCCAUUUCCACAUUCGACUCUGCAUGUCAACAAGCUGCUCAAAUCAUAUGUAGUAGGUGUUUCGUUUCGGCCGACCACUUGACGAUCAGUUGCACCGAAAUCUCUUACAGGUGUUCCAUGACUGGGUCAGGUAGUAAAUGCCAACAAAGUCUCCAAAAAAAACGGACCGUCAACUUCAAUCUCUAUUUGAUCGUCUUUGAUAAGCUUAAUAUACGAACAACGCGCCGUCGGACUAUGUAGAACAUGCAUGAAUAAAAUGAUGGGAAUUUUGG